rnacentral:rRNA from 1 species
UAUGCCUACGGUACGCAGCAGUAGGGAAUAUUGCUCAAUGGGGGAAACCCUGAUGCAGCGACGCCGCGUGAGUGAAGAAGUAAUUCGUUAUGUAAACCUCUAUCAGCAGGGAAGAAAAUGACGGUACCUGAGUAAGAAGCCCCGGCUAACUACGUGCCAGCAGCCGCGGUAAUACGUAGGGGGCAAGCGUUAUCCGGAUUUACUGGGUGUAAAGGGAGCGUAGCCGGCAGUGCAAGUCUGGAGU